AGCGAGCCCUGAGAUGAGUCAUCCCUGACCCCUUGAGGGUCCUAAAGGGCCGUUGGAGACCACAACGUUGAUAGGCGGGGUGUGUAAGUGCAGCGAUGCAUUGAGCUAACCCGUACUAAUUACCCGUGAGGCUUAACCAUACAACACCCAAGAAGUGUU
rnacentral:rRNA from 1 species